GCCUUCUGCCUAGUGGGAAGAAGAAGUCUCUCAGAGAUAGUCGGGGUCUCUUGGCCAUGGAGGCUGCCAGAAACAGGUAACUUGCUUGUGUUUCUGUGGUGCGACCUUCUAUGGCUAUUUUGUGAGCCUACGUGUACUCUUCAAGAAGUAGAGUUCCAGCAAGCGGUAUGGCUCUAUGGGCAAGGAAAUCAUUCCUCACCAAGGAAGGAGGCUAGGGGAUGAGACGUGCCCAUUCGCCGAGCAUGCGUGAACAACAAAGUGCUUUUGAUGAGCAAUAUACUCACGGCAAUGUCCCCCCCCCAAAAGCAGAGAAAAUACAGAAGGAUAAAGAACUGUGAAAAGGUCAUGUACUUUGGAGUUGGGCAGAAGUGAGUGUGAGCUGCAUUGCUCCUUCCUGGUGAGGAAGCUUUGUGGCCAGCGCUGCGUCUGUUGGAUGAGGCU